ACUAAUGCACUUUAACAUUGGCAAAAGUCUCCCCUUGCCAGAUACAAGAGAGUUCAGUGAUGUAAGGGUUACCAACCCGACAGGUAUCAGGGUAUGCCGGCAGCAGCUGAGACAGCCGUGGAGUGUGCCCACAUGGGGCAGUUCAAGGUCUGUCAGCUGUGGGGCAGGGUGAGAGGCAUUUCAGCCGAUGCCCAGUGUGGG